UUUCAGUAUGCUAAUGUUGAUUUUGUGUUGUGUUUUCUGAUUGUUUCAGUUCAUGCAUUCAACAAGUUUUGGACGAAUGACUUCCAUAGACCGUCAUCUCCAAAGUUCACUCAAAAAGGUAAUAGUUGUGAACUGGGCUUGAUUUAGUUGUUGUUGUCUUAAUUAUCUACAUUUUGUUAAUUAUCUUUUAAACAUCCAUUGGUUGAAAGCUAUUGCUGAAUUAUCACUUGGCUCAUGUAAAUUCUGUAGUUGCCCCUUUAAACAUCCUAAGGUCAACAUCUCCAUAGUGUUCCCAUUGUAGCUACAUAAACAUAUUAAAUAAACUCUUUAUUUGGGAAAGAUCCCGUCUUUGCUCGUUUCUUCAUUAGCAAAUUUGGAUUUAUUUGUAUAUUUUAAGAUAUUGAAUACAUGUUGUUUAGUAUAUUUAGCAUGUUUAGUUCUCCCUGUGAGAAGAAAGUUAAUUUAAAGUUAAUUUAAAGUUAUAUGUGAUUGGGUUUAUGAAGAUACAACAUUUCAACGUUGUUAACACACAGUAACCAAAAACCGGAUCUCAUUUGCAUAUUCAUGUUCGACACAUGUUUCCCAGAAUUGUUUGCCAGAAGUUUACAAGUUUUUUAGAUAAGGGAUUUGAACAUACAACAGUUUUCAUGUUUAUCAUCAACAUACUCACCUUAAAUACUUCUAGGUGGCAGUUUCCUGCUGGUUCCCUAGUGGCUACGAUCUCUCCUUCCCGUAACUCUGAUUGGCCGUUUGGAAGGUGUGUCUGCUCUGAGACAGUUAGAGCAUCCUUGGAAUCCAGGCUGCUGCUCGUUAUUACAGAGGUGGACCAGGACAGGCUGUCUCCCCCUGCAGGCUGCUGCUCGUUAUUACAGAGGUGGACCAGGACAGGCUGUUUGACCAAGAAGCCUGACUGCAGCGUGCAGUUCAGGGCCGGGCUCGAUGUGGGCGGAGUCAAACGUUGGGCCGGGCUCAAUGUGGGCGGAGUCAAACCCGUUUAACCCUAACCUUUCCCGUCUCCUCCAAGGUCACCCAAGUUGAGGUAAACGUCGAAGGUGUCAACAUCAACGAAAGCGAAUCUUAAUCGAACCUAACCCACAUGGAUAAAAAUAUAAACCAUGGUAGUGAGACUGUCAUUAUGCAUAAUGUACUUUGUUAUAUUCAUGCUACACCAGUGCAGUGGUAUAUUUUUAUAUAACCAACUACCGCACCGAUGUUAGCAUAGCAUUAAUUAGCACCUAUUUGCACGUGCGCUAGCUAUUUGCUUACAAUGAGGGAAUUUUAUUUGGACUAAUUUGCCUACUUGAGCAGUAAGCCUUGGUUCACAUCCACAGUUAUGUAAACAAUUUGAUCUGUGAUUUUCUGUGUUUCUUCAAUGUAUGCCUUGUUGUGAUUGGCUGGCUCUAAAUGUGUAUCCUUGAUGCCAUUCCCUUAGUUACACAUAGCGGGUCUACACUAGAGGUCGACCGAUUAUGAUUUUUCAACACCGAUACCGAUUAUUAUGAGGAUACCAAUUAAUCGGCCGAUUUAUAUAUAUAUAUAUAUAUAUAUAUAUAUAUAUAUAUAUAUAUAUAUAUAUAUUUGUAAUAAUGACAAUUACAACAAUACUGAAUUAACACUUAUUUUAACUUAAUAUAAUACAUAAAUAAAAUCAAUUUUGUCUCAAAUAAAUAAUGAAACAUGUUCAAUUUGGUUUAAAUAAUGCAAACACUAAGUGUUGGAGAAGUAAAAGUGCAAUAUGUGCCAUGUAAAAAAGCUAACGUUUCAGUUCCUUGCUCAGAACAUGAGAACAUAUGAAAGCUGGUGGUUCCUUUUAACAUGAGUCUUCAAUAUUCCCAGGUAAGACGUUUUAGGUUGUAGUUAUUAUAGGACUCUUUCUCUCAUAUACCAUUGACUAUUGGAUGUUCUAAUAGGUACUUCAGUAUUGCCAGCCUAAUAUCGGGAGUUGAUAGGCUUAAAGUCAUAAACAGCGCAAUGCUUGAAGCACAGCGAAGAGCCGCUGACAAACGCACGAAAGUGCAGUUUGAAUUAAUGUUUAUGAGUCUGCUGCUGCCUACCACCGCUCAGUCGACUGCACUAUCAAAUAUCAAAUCAUAGACUUAAUUAUAACAUAAUAACACACAGAAGUACGAGCCUUAGGUCAUUAAUAUGGUCAAAUCCGGAAACUAUCAUUUCAAAAACAAAACGUUUAUUCUUUCAGUGAAAUACGUAAAGUUACGUUUUUUGUAUCUAACGGGUGACAUCCAUAAGUAUAAAUUUUGCUGUUGCAUUGCACAACAUUCAAUGAUAUGUCAUAGUUAUGAAAAAUUCUGGCAAAUUAAUUAUGGUCUUUGUUAGUAAGAAAUGGUCUUCACACAGUUCGCAACGAGCCAGGCGGCCCAAACUGCUUGUAAUAUAGUCUGUGUGUAGCUGGUGUAGAGGAGUCAGGCGCAGGACAGCAGAUAUGAGUAAAUAAACAUAUUGUAAUCAAAAUCGACAAAUACAAAUACAAAAUAAGCGAGCCCACAUAAACGGACCGUGUAACAUAAAAACAAUCACUCACAAACAAACAUGAGGUAACAGAGGGUUAAAUAAUGAACAAAUAAUUGGGGGAUUUAAUCCAGGUGUGUAAGACAAAGACAAAACAAAUGGAAAAUGAAAAGUGGAUCGGCGAUGGCUAGAAGGCCGGUGACGUCGACCGCCGAACGCCGCCCACCGAACGCCGCCCGAACAAGGAGACUUCAGCGGAAGUGGUGACACUGCUGCAUAUACCCUGACUCUGCUUGCACAGAACGCAAGAGAAGUGACACAAUUUCCCUAGUUAAAAGAAAUUCAUGUUAGCUGGCAUUAACUAAAUAUGCAGGUUUAAAAAUAUAUACUUGUGUAUUGAUUAAGAAAGGCAUUGAUGUUUAUGUACACAUUGGUGCAACGACAGUACUUUUUUCGCGAAUGCGCUUGUUAAAUCAUCCGUUUGGCGAAGUAGGCUGUGAUUCAAUGAUAAAUUAAUAGGCACUGCAUCAAUUAUAUGAAACGCAGGACAAGCUAGAUAAACUAGUAAUAUAAAUCAACCAUGUGUAGUUAGCUAGUGAUUAUGUUAAGAUUGAUUGUUUUUUAUAAGUUUAAUGCUAGCUAGCACCUUACCGUGGCUCCUUACUGCAAUCGCAUAACAGGUAGUCAGCCUGCCACGCAGUCUCCUUGUGGCGUGCAAUGUAAUCGGCCAUAAUCGGUGUCCAAAAAUGCCGAUUACCGAUUGUUAUGAAAACUUGAAAUCGGCCCUAAUUAAAGUGGCCAUUCCGAUUAAUCGGUCGACCUCUAGUCUACACAGUCUAAACAUAUUGAAUACAAUAAUGAAAUCACCUGGUCCCAACAUACAUGGCAAGUCAAGAAAAGUCAUUGUAACUUGUCCACGAUGCAAACUGAAGUAAAAUUUUAAAAAACCUUCAAAACACAUUUAUGAAGAAAGCAUACACAUUGAUUUGAAAGAGUGUCCAAGGAAAGAUUUUUGUCAUGUGAGUGCAUUGAUGUGAGAAAUUAUGCAUUUGCAGUCGAAAAUACAUUUUCUGGUCCAGCAACACCCAUAUAUGUUGUGACAAAUACUUCCAAAUGUGUUCAAAACUGUUAUGCACGCUGGAGUAUUAAAAAGCUGUUGAAUCGUACCUUUUCUAAACUUUCACAUUCACAGAGACAUUGAUCGGAUCUUGUCCCCUGGACCUUAGAGGACUUUUGGUGUGGAUGAUUGAUCAGGUCAGAUAUUCCUUUCAAUGAUUCCACUGAACUGGACCAUUUCAUUGUCAUUCCUGUAUUGAAGAGUGUACCUUGUUCACACCACAGGAUCUACCAAAGCAAGGUUUCUCAAACAACUGUGGGAUGUGAUGGUAAUAUGCUGAUAAUUCAGUCAAUUAUAUUAGUUAUAUUUUCUGUUAUAACACGUGAAAAGUUAUUAUUAUGUCUGUGCUUGUAGCAUGCAAAGCACACUAUUGUAAUUGCUCAUACUUUUUCUUGUUAAUUAUUCUUGACACUUUUUGGGACCUAUUUCCUACAGUUAUUAAACUACAUAAACAAUCCAUAGUCUUCUACAUCCUGAAAUAUGUUCCUGGGGGGGGNNNNNNNNNNUCACACCCUCUCUCACACUCUCUCACACUCUCUCACACUCUCUCACACGCACUCAAAUGGUUUCAAAAUGAUCCAUAGUUAACCAAAUGUUGUCUCACUUUCACCAAUUUGUAAGGUGAUGUUUCUUCCUGAAUGAUCCUGUGCCCAGACUUUCAGCCCUGUUUCAGCCCUGUUUCACACAUCCCUUUGAGGUAGUCUGAGCCCAGCAGUCUAUCUCUGGUAACUACUAUCUAUUACUGCAUGUAGUGGUGGACUGGGCUUCAGUGCUGCUAACGCUACAGCUGUUAGUCUGUCUGUUCUCUCUAUAACUGUAGUGGUGGACUGGGCUGGGUCAGGCUAGAAGGAGACUUAAGCAAGGAACCAUUGACCAGUUUAGCCUGCUGGGUCAGGCUAGAAGGAGACUAAAACAAAGGAACCAUUGACCAGUUUAGCCUGCUGGGUCAGGCUAGAAGGAGACUUAAGCAAAGGAACCAUUGACCAGUUUAGCCUGCUGGGUCAGGCUAGAAGGAGACUUAAGCAAAGGAACCAUUGAC
rnacentral:lncRNA from 13 species